rfam:Escherichia coli ISC11, WGS project CBWP01000000 data, contig: c58
GAUGAAGCGAUGAGACAACGAAGGGGUCAUCUAUGCGUCAGUUCUGGUUGAAGUACUUUACCACGACGGAAAAAUCGUCCUGGUUGGCUUGCCUGAGCGCACCGCAGCGCUUAAAGAUGCUCGAAGAGCUGAUGCAGUGGGAGAUGACAUCUGACUCCUGAAUUGGAAAUUGCAGACAUCAUGUGUGACUGAGUAUUGGUGCAGGCUGUAUCCUGCCAUUAUCUCUGAGCAUCGCUGGUGGCUAUUUUU